GACGUAGGGCGCGAGCGUUGUCCGGAUUUAUUGGCGAAAGAGCUCGUAGGCGGCUUGUCGCGUCGUUCGUGAAAACCUGGGGCUCAACCCCAGGCUUGCGGGCGAUACGGGCAGGCUAGAGUUCGGUAGGGGAGACUGGGAAUUCCUGGUGUAGCGGUGAAAUGCGCCAGAUAUCAGGAGGAACACCGGUGGCGAAGGCGGGUCUCUGGGCCGAUACUACGUGGAGGAGCGGAAA
rnacentral:rRNA from 1 species